CACGUAGGAGGCGAGCGUUGUCCGGAAUCAUUGGGCGUAAAGAGCGCGCAGGCGGCUUGGCAAGUCGGGUGUGAAAUCCCGGGGCUCAACCCCGUGACUGCAUUCGAUACUGUCAGGCUAGAGGUAGGUAGGGGAGAUCGGAAUUCCUGGUGUAGCGGUGAAAUGCGCAGAUAUCAGGAAGAACACCAAUGGCGAAGGCAGCUCUCUGGGACGGUACUGACGCUGAGACGCGAAAGCGUGGGGAGCGAACAGG
rnacentral:rRNA from 1 species